UCUACGUUACUGCAGAGAAUUUUCUAGCUCUGAUUGUCCAAACGCAAUUCUUGUUUUAUUCGAAUAUGAUAUCCAAGAGUUGUGACUGGACAUCCGUGGCUCGAAAUAAGGAAACAUCUUGCUUAGAA
rnacentral:pre_miRNA from 11 species